rnacentral:sRNA from 1 species
UACUCUACCAUUGCCCGCCAACACUUCC